UCAAAGUCGUUGAGUGGAUACAAUAUCAACAAACGCGUGAACGCCUUUGUUAUUGAACCAGUCUUCUUUCGCACUCCGACGAAUAAACAUCGAAGCUCUCUCUCUCCAAACGGAUAAAUUUCGAACUCAAAGUCCUUGAGUGGAUACAAUAUCAACAAACGCGUGAAUGCCUUUGUUAUUGAACCAGUCUUCUUUCGCACUCCGACGAAUAAACAUCGAAGCUCUCUCUCUCCAAACGGAUAAAUUUCGAACUCAAAGUCCUUGAGUGGAUACAAUAUCAACAAACGCGUAAACGCCUUUGUUAUUGAACCAGUCUUCUUUCGCACUCCGACGAAUAAACAUCGAAGCUCUCUCUCUCCAAACGGAUAAAUUUCGAACUCAAAGUCCUUGAGUGGAUACAAUAUCAACAAACGCGUGAACGCCUUUGUUAUUGAACCAGUCUUCUUUCGCACUCCGACGAAUAAACAUCGAAGCUCUCUCUCUCCAAACGGUUUCGAACUCCGAGUCUUUAACUGGAUAUAAUAUGAACAAACGCGUGGACGCCUUUGUUAUUGAAGCAGUCUUCUUUCACACUCCGACGAAUAAACAUCGAAGCUCUCUCUCUCCAAACGGUUUCGAACUCCGAGUCUUUAACUGGAUAUAAUAUGAACAAACGCGUAAACGCCUUUGUUAUUGAACCAGUCUUCUUUCGCACUCCGACGAAUAAACAUCGAAGCUCUCUCUCUCCAAACGGAUAAAUUUUGAACUCCGAGUCCUUGACUGGAUAUAAUAUCAACAAACGCGUGGACGCCUUUGUUAUCGAAGCAGUCUUCUUUCGCAUUCCGAGGAAUUAACAUUGAAGAUCUCUCUCUCUCUCUCCAAACGGAUAAGUUUAAGGAUCAACAUCGAAGCUUUCUUUUUUCAAGCGGAAAGCAAAUUAACUACGGAUAAUGCUAUUCAUAUUUAUUAAUUAAUUGCUAUUAAUAAAUAACUAUAGCAUAUUAGAGUUAGUGCAUCAUUGAAGAGGAUCUCAACCAACUUUGAUGUCGACCUACCUCGUUUUCAACCACCUACAAUGAAUUAUCCACUCUCAUUUUUGACCUACAUACCGGACAAGUGUUUUGGAGUCAUCGUAGAACUUUCUAAGUAAUAAGUAAAUUUUUAAGUUCCUUUGAUCGCUCAGUCGUGAAACUUAAGAAUGAAAGGUCCGAAUAGAUACGAAUGAUGGGUCGUAAUUUGUAGAAAAACAUUGAGUUUUCACGAGUAACUUUCUUUGGAGAUUUAUUCAUGAGUGAUUUCUUAUUUUUUGAUUCAUUAAAUUAGCAUACGGUCUUGUUGCCUCAUACGCCUAUAAUUAUAAUUAUUCAUAGGUUUAUAAUUAUUUGCACUUUAACAUCUGUAUUCAGGAAUAUUCAUAAGUUAUAAUAAUUAAUGAGUUAGAAGACAUUCGCGAUAGAUAGUUUUUGGAUUACAAGCGAAAUUAUGCAUGAUUUUGUAAGAAGAUGGAGUUGAAACAAGCAUACUAGGAUGUUUGCCAAGUUUUCACUUUGCCACACGUUACGGGAAGAUAAUAUUUCUUUUGAUUAAGAUCAAGAAUUUUUUAUUUUCUUUCAUUUUUUAAAGACGAA